AAUGAACGUUGGCGGCGUGGAUUAGGCAUGCAAGUCGCGCGAGAAGUCAUUUAGCUUGCUAAAAGACGGACAGCGGCGGAAGGGAGAGUAACGCGUGGUUAUGUACCCUCGAGACCGGGAUAGUGUCGGGAAACUGGCAGUAAUACCGGAUAACAUCUUCGGAUCAAAUGGUGUGAUUCCGCUCGAGGAUCGGACCGCGUACUAUUAGCUAGUUGGAGGGGUAAUGGCCCACCAAGGCUUAGAUGGUUACCGGGUGUGAGAGCAUGGCCCGGCUCACUGGGACUGAGACACUGCCCAGACAUCUACGGAUGGCUGCAGUCGAGAAUCUUCGGCAAUGGACGAAAGUCUGACCGAGCGACGCCGCGUGCGGGAUGAAGGCCUUCGGGUUGUAAACCGCUGUCAGUUAGGAGGAAAUCCAUGAGGGUUCUCUCUCAUGGUUGACCGAUUCUCAGAGGAAGGACGGGCUAAGUUCGUGCCAGCCGCCGCGGUAAUAC
rnacentral:rRNA from 1 species